GUUUUAUUUAUUUUAUUUUUUUUUUUUUUAUAACGACUGGUAAUAAAUUCUAUUAGGCUUAAUGAAUUCGAAUUUUAUUAAUUUUUAGGGUUAAAUGAAUAUAUUGUAGUCGGUAAAACAAAUUGAGCUUAUAGAUAUUAGGUACAUAGUUUUAAUCAAUUAACGUGUUAUUUAUUAAAACAAAUAUUUAUUAUGUGAUGAAAUUUAAGCAUUCUUUACAAAUGUGUUUGAUAGUAAUUCAAAAAGCAAUAAUUAUUAUGUACUUAGUGUUCAAGCGACUAACAAUAACAAUUAACAAUAAGAAGUUCGAAAUCUAGUCAACUUUUUUUACUUAAUUAUUAUUUUAUUUUUUCUUACGGUUUUGUUUUAAAAUAAAUAACUUUCAGAAACUUAUUAUUUUUUAAGUGUUGUUAUUAUAAUUUGUAAACAGUCUUUCCAAAAAAUCUCCUGGUGCACACAGUGACCAAUGUUAGUUUGCAAAUUAAACAAUCAAGAAUAAGACUAAAACAUAUUAUUUUUCAUAAUAGAAUACUUACGUUUAUUUUUUUUUCUAUUAUUAUUAUUGUUAUUAUUAUUAUUGGGACCAAUAACCUCCAUUAAAAAAAACAUAAUAUCAAAAAAUAUUCUAAAAAAAAAAUUAAAAAAAUUAAAAUUAAAAAAAAAUAUAUAUAGAAUUGGAUGUAUGUUGGUAAUUUAUGGCCUCGUCUCAUUGGAUCAUCAAUAACGACAAAUAAUCAAAUACAUUUAACAAUAAAUCAUUAUUAGUCCGUUUAUAAUCUAAUAGGCCGAUGGAAAAUAUUUUUAUUACUUAUCUACCUAAAAACAUUACUUUAGUAAAUUAUUUGGUUAAAAGAAAAUAAAUAGGUAACAUGUUUACAUAUUAAAAAUUGAUAAGUUCCAAAUUAAUUUUCCAAGAGUACCUGCUUUAUUUCAUUUUCAUUUUCUGUUACAUUUAAAAAUGUUUUUUAGAUUCUGAAUUGAAACAAAAUAAAAAUUAUGUUUACCUAAAUUUAAAAUGACGCGAGUUCCGACGAACAUUGUCACAAUUUCGGGGUCACGUUAACAAAAAACAAAAAUGCAAAAAAAAAUUAAAUAGUUACCUAUCGAUCUCUUUUCAAUAAAAAUUAAAAAUUUGUAUUGCCUACAAAUUCAGUAGGUAUUUCUGUUCUUUUAUUAAAUUUUAAAAUGAUAUUUCGCUCAGUUUUUAGUAGAUAAUUAGAUAAUAAUGUUUAUAAUUAUAAUUCUGUUAACAACCGUGCGCUUAGAACAAACGAAUUCCAACCAACGAAAUACGGUCGAGUCUAAUAAUUCACAUCACGUUCUCCGUGGGUAUGCUAAGCGAAACAACAUUAACAAAACUAUUAAGCACGGACCGGACGAUUAACGGGGUUUCUUCGGUAUUGUUAUUAAGAGCACAAUGAUCGUCAAAAGUAUACCUACAACGUGCGGUAUAACAUUUGACUAGAUGUAAUGUGUAAUCGAUUUUCCGCAAUAUACACAAAUCUCAUACAUUAGCACGUUAAAAUUGUCGUACACAAAACGAAACCUUUUCAAAACAUCAGACACGUAAACUGCUAGAAUUUUUUUGUCCAACAAUUUCCUGUACAGAAGAAAAAACCGUUUAUUAGCGGUUUUAUUUAUCAAAUUUUUUCAUGUAAGAGUUUGUACCAUUGUAAAAAAAAAAAAACAAAAUAGAUAGUUGGCAUUAAUUAUUUUACUCUGCGUUGACCGUGAUAUCGAUUGGCCAACGACGACGGUUUACGUUUUUUUUUUUUUUUUCAAUUUUAUAUUAUUCGACAAUAUCACGAUUCUUGACUAAAUAAUCCUCUUGUACGAUGUAUCAUUAUAAUAUACGCAAUUCUAAAAACGAUCCGCCGUUUAAGACCGUUUGGAUAAUCUACGUGUCGAUUUUUUUUUUUUUUUUUUUCAAACUCAAAGUUCCCGUUCGUAAAACCGUAGGUCAGUUCAUGUUUAUAUCGUUUGUCACCCCGUGGGUUUGUUCGUUUUUGUUUCCUCCAUUCCACCCAUCCGCCGCCCAAAACGCACUAAUUUCAGGUUAAACGUUUGUGACGCACGUUUGUGCAUUUUCACAUCGCCCAGCUAAACGUAGUUUCUCAAUAAUAUUUACCUGCGCGUAAAACUCAUGACACAGUAGACAGUAUUGGAUUUAUUAUGAAUCGACCAACAACGUUGACGUAUUUAUAAACAUGUAUUUACUUAUUUUAUUUUUAUUUUUUUCAAUGUAAAACAAUCUUUUAUUAACGUGGGUCUAAAUAUUAAGUGCCUUUUAAACGCAAAUUUAAAUUAAAUUAACCAUCAGUUUGUUGUUGUUCAAUAACCCGACGGUAUUGAUUCUUGUUUUUCCGCGUGUUCGUCUUUCUCGGAUAACGUUUUCGGUAGGUUUUAAUUCGCUGUCUAUCGCGACAACGGCGUAUUUUUUAACGUAUUAUUAUAUUGCAUUAUAUACCACGUCGUCGCGGGAAAGUUUAAUUUUGUAAAAUAACAAUAAUAAUAAAAAACAAAAAAAAAAAAAAAAAAAAAAAAAAAAAAUGGUUUCUUUUAAAAAACUACCCAUCGAUUAACGGUUUUUUUUUUUUUUUUAGACGAUGGGCGGCGUAUAAUUAUAUAGCGGUUAUACCUUGUCCGUAGGCCGAAAAACUCAUGUAACAAUAAAGUUCUAUAAUAUUUUCAAAAUGUAUUGACGAAUUUUCUCAUUUUACAGGUAUUAGAUUUAUUGAUAAAAAAAAAAAAAAAACAAAAAAAACAAAUUAAAAUUGUAAUAAUACGAUAAUGUUACACCUAUUAUAUUAUUAUUAAAGUCUUUAGGCCGGCGUGGUGUUGUUCCGUGCACGUCCGACUCGAUAGUAUUAUGUUUGAUAGAGUACGGCAAAAGCGUUUUUUUUUUUUUUCUGUCUUAUUGCUAUGAUUUCAUUUUUUUCUACGACGUUAUAGAUUAUUACGUACAAUCGUAUUAGUCGCAUUUGUUUUUUUUUUGUUAUUUUGAUACGAACACUUAUAUUUUAUUUUUUCUGUUCUAAAUUAGCCACCGAUAAUAUUAUUGUACAUAUUAGAAACGUCUACGACUGCAAUACGUAUUAUAUUAUAUUAUUAUAAAACAUACAUCACAAAACGUUGCUACUGUGAUCGUUCAUAUUAUGUGAAAACGUUGGUAAUAUUAUUAAAUAGUUUGCCCGUAAUUUGUCGUACGAUUAAUAAUGUUAUUUAUAAUGUUGUUUAGCGUGUAUUGCGUGUACUUGCGCAUUCGACUCGGGACACAGAAAAAAAAAAAAAAAAAUAUAUAAAAACCCAAAUAUAAUAUAAUAUAUCGUCUAGAAUAUAAGAUAUCGCUUUAUUUUCAGAGGAAACAAACGUCGAACUUGUAUUAUUAUUAUUAUUAUAUUAUACACUCUUAUCAUUAUUUACAUUAUUUGUAUUUUGUACAUUCAAUUCAUUAAUUUUAGGUACAAUUUUUCGAGCUUUAGUCAAUUUUUUUAAUAAUCUUGUUAAAAAAUUAUAUAUAUAUAUAUAUAUUAUAUACGAACAAAAACCAAAUAUUAUAUAUUAUUAUAUUUUCAGUCUUUGUACUUAUUUACGUUUUAGAAACUAUACAAUAAUUAAUAC
rnacentral:lncRNA from 1 species